CCUACGGGUGGCAGCAGUGGGGAAUAUUGGACAAUGGGGGGAACCCUGAUCCAGCCAUGCCGCGUGUGUGAAGAAGGCCCUCGGGUUGUAAAGCACUUUCAGUGAGGAAGAACGCCUGGUGGUUAAUACCCAUCAGGAAAGACAUCACUCACAGAAGAAGCACCGGCUAACUCCGUGCCAGCAGCCGCGGUAAUACGGAGGGUGCGAGCGUUAAUCGGAAUUACUGGGCGUAAAGCGCGCGUAGGUGGCUUGAUAAGCCGGUUGUGAAAGCCCCGGGCUCAACCUGGGAACGGCAUCCGGAACUGUCAAGCUAGAGUGCAGGAGAGGAAGGUAGAAUUCCCGGUGUAGCGGUGAAAUGCGUAGAGAUCGGGAGGAAUACCAGUGGCGAAGGCGGCCUUCUGGAAUGACACUGACACUGAGGUGCGAAAGCGUGGGUAGCAAACAGGAUUAGAUACCCUGGUAGUC
rnacentral:rRNA from 1 species